rnacentral:rRNA from 1 species
UACAGAGGGUGCGAGCGUUGUUCGGAAUCAUUGGGCGUAAAGCGCUUGUAGGCGGCUUGUUAAGUCGCGUGUGAAAUCCCUUGGCUCAACCAAGGAAGUGCGCGCGAAACUGGCGAGCUCGAGUGCCGGAGAGGGAAGCGGAAUUCCGGGUGUAGCGGUGAAAUGCGUAGAUAUCCGGAGGAACACCGGUGGCGAAGGCGGCUUCCUGGACCGACACUGACGCUGAGGCGCGAAAGCUAGGGGAGCAAACGGG